rfam:Arabis alpina cultivar Pajares scaff_45019_1_contig_0, whole genome shotgun sequence.
CUCAUGGCGAUCGGGCGUCCGCACCGGGCUCGCCAUCAACAUGCGCCCCCUGGAGGAGUCCGGGCGGGCGCAGGUUCGCUAAGGAGGGGCGCACCGGGUCAGGGAGGCAACUCAGCAGCCAAAAGCUCCCGUGGCGAGCGGUGGUGGGAUCGCGCCCGAGAGUGAG